rnacentral:misc_RNA from 1 species
AGCACUUAUCUCCAAAGACCAUGAAUCUUCGCCCCUUCUAACUGCAGAGACAGGAAGCCUGUUAGCCACCACCAGCAGCCGUUGCCUUAAAGGCCUGCCAUCCUGAUUUUCACAUCCCUCAGCUAGCGUCCUCGUAGCUGCAAUAGCUCCCUCAAGGUAUUGCUCAAUAUAGGAAUUGUUUGAGUGGUCACCUUCUCUCAAGCGCAAAUCAUGUUCACUUGGUUCAAUCCCCCUAUGAUUAUCAGUAACCUCAUUUGAAUAGGAAGCCCUGCUGCUUUUCUUUAGCUCUCUUUCUCUCAAAAGCCGUUGCGUACGACUUGGGUACGGGGUUGAGUUACCGUUGUACUGG